rnacentral:rRNA from 1 species
GUUGAACGCUGGCGGCAGGCCUAACACAUGCAAGUCGAGCGGGGACUUCGGUCCUAGCGGCGAACGGGUGAGUAAUGCUUGGGAAUCUGCCCAGUAGUGGGGGAUAACGUCCCGAAAGGGACGCUAAUACCGCAUACGUCCUACGGGAGAAAGAGGGGGAUCUUCGGACCUCUCGCUAUUGGAUGAGCCCAAGUCGGAUUAGCUAGUUGGUAGGGUAAUGGCCUACCAAGGCGACGAUCCGUAGCUGGUCUGAGAGGAUGAUCAGCCGCACUGGAACUGAGACACGGUCCAGACUCCUACGGGAGGCAGCAGUGGGGAAUAUUGGACAAUGGGCGAAAGCCUGAUCCAGCCAUGCCGCGUGUGUGAAGAAGGCCUUCGGGUUGUAAAGCACUUUAAGCGGGGAGGAAGGUUCGCGGCCUAAUACGUCGCGGAAUUGACGUUACCCGCAGAAUAAGCACCGGCUAACUCUGUG